GGAAGGAGAAGUCGUAACAAGGUUUCCGUAGGUGAACCUGCGGAAGGAUCAUUGUCAUAAUCUAUCAUCGUAGACCGAGAACACGUGAAGUGCAUGCGUGGUGUGUUCCUUUGUUGGUCUAUCCACGCGAGCCUCCCCUCUCUCUAUUUACUAGAGCGUUGGGUGUGCCUAACAACCCCUCGGCACGUACUGUGCCAAGGUAAUCAAUGGAAGUCGUGGUGGUGGUACCGUGUGUGCUCCAUAGCGACUUGUUUGUACUAAUGAAUCCUUUGAGGAUAUCAGAUGACUCUCGGCAACGGAUAUCUUGGUCCUCGCAUCGAUGAAGAACGUAGCGAAAUGCGAUACUUGGUGUGAAUUGCAGAAUCCCGUGAACCAUCGAGUUUUUGAACGCAAGUUGCGCCCUAAGCUUCCGGGCCGAGGGCAAGCCUGCGUGGGCGUCAAGUUACGUUGCUCGCUCACCCUCCUCGAGGUCCAUUUUCUUGAGGCCUCUUGGUUAAGGUGUUCGAAGUGGAGAUUGACCCUCCAUUCUCUUUCGACGAAUGGUGGGUUGAAGUUUAUAGUGCCGCCGGAAUUCGUGCAAGGGCAUGACGGUUGAAGUCUCGUAGUCCUGGGCAUCUUCGUCCGCUACGGCUUACUUGUCGUUCUCGUCGAUCCGGUGUCGUUCCCAGUUCAUGGCACUUUGCCUUGACCAACAUCGCGACCCCACGUCAGGCUAGAUCACCCGCUGAGUUUAA
rnacentral:rRNA from 1 species